UACCAUUUUAAUUUCUCUCUUUAUUUUUAGAAACUUAAAAAAAUGUUGUGCUUGCUUUGGCAGCACAUACACAAAAUUGGAAUGAUACUGAGAAUAUUAGCAUGGCCCCUGUACAAGGAUGAUGUGUAAAUUCAUGAAGCAUUCUAUAGUUUUGACAUUGUAAAUCAGCUAUACUCCAAUAAAAUUAAAUUUUAUUUAAAAUGUUAUUUUCUUAAAGGUUGCUCUAGAGCGGUUGUUCUCAGCUGGGAGCAAUAUUGCUUUUCCUCUCCCACCAGAGGACAUUUGGAAAUGUCUGGCUACAUUUUUGGUUAUUACAGCCUGGAAGGGCCUUCAGGGUUCAGCCAAUCCUCAAAUCAGCCUUGGUUUUAGCUUCCAGCUUGGCUCUUCCAAUCUCCCCACCCAUGUGGUGCAUAGUUUUCCAGUCAGCUGGUUAUGUAUGGUGAGCUUAUUCCAGCCCUUCUAUGGCUCCCUCAUUUCUAGAUCUCACUGCUAAAUUUAUGACUGAUCAUCUGCUAGCCCCAACCAGGACCACAGGCACAGGCUAGAAGAGCUGUGGGUUUUCCAUGUUCAUGCCCUACCAUGUUGCUACUUUUACGGAUAACUGUGCUAUGUUUUUCCCUUCUGCCUGAAAUUGUAUCCACUCCCUUCUGGUAGCAGACUGCUGAUUUUCUGGCCAGCUCUGCUGAGGAUAAGUAAGUAGCCUUAAGCAAGAUCAUAGAUUUCUACUGACUUCACUGGAAGAGCUAGCAGUUCUUCAUGAAUAAAUGAUUCUCAAUUUGUUCUUUACUUUUGCUUUCCAGAGACCUUAAACCAUUGUUUUUGACACUUUUGUCCAAUAUUGUUCUUGUUUUUGGAAAAGAGGAAUUGCCAAUCUCUUAACGCCACAUUGGAGUCCCCGCCACUACUUUGGAGAUGAAGUUUCCAUCAUAAAACUAGGUGACUUUAGGACAUCCCUUUUCAUCCCUAAAAGAGUAAACAGCAUCCUUGAGGAAAUCUGGGACCAUAUGUCUCUGGAAAUCAGAAAAAACUAAAAGUCCUUUGAAAGCUGUAGGCCCUCUCUCACCAGCAUUCAAGCAAAUAUUUUUUUUAAUAAUUUUUUUUUAAAUUGUCCCACUGUACAGCAAGGGGGUCAGGUUAUCCUUACAUGUAUAUAUUACAAUUACAUUUUUCCCCCACCCUUUCUUCUGUUGCAACAUGAGUGUCUAGACAAAGUUCUCAAUGCUAUUCAGCAGGAUCUCCUUGUAAAUCUUUUCUAAGUUGUGUCUGACAAACAAAUAUUUUUGACUUUGGAUUAAAGAAUAACAGAUUCUGAGCCCCAAACAGAACUUUGAUCUUCAAUUUUGGCUUGUUUAAUCCCCAGAGAACUAGCUUUCUUAGGUCUUAUGCUGUAAUAGCUGCUCUCCCUAGCAUAUUAGUCCCUCCCAUUCACUCAUCUUGCCCUCUGUGCGCGCGCACACACACACACACACCCCUACCUAUAUGUGAACAUAGACAUACCAGAAAUUUGCUUUCUAUAGAAAUCCAACUUUGGCUUAGUGAUACCAGCAGCCUUUGUAUACCAGUAGCCUAUAUCUGGGGUACCCAAAUAUAGGCCCUUGAUGGGGCUGCUGCAGACAGUCUCCUCCAAGUGCCAUAAACCCAGGGCCAUACCUUAUUCGCUCAUUCAACUGAUUUGUAUUGAAGCACUACUGUGGAGCCCAGCACUGUGCUAUGGGCAGGGGAUAAGGUGGUGAAUAUGCCACAGUUUCUACCCUAGAGGAACUUAUGUACCAAGGAGUAGAUACAAACAACCACGUAUAAAUAAAGCGUGAUGAAAAUAAUAGCAACAGAGGUACAGACUAUUCAAGGAAACUUAUACAAGACAGGAGCAUUUAAUCUAGACUUAGGGGAUCAGAGGAGGCUUCAUGGAAGAAGUAAUGUCUGAACUGAGACUGAGGAAUGAGUCAGAGUUAGGCAGGCAGGUACUUUACAUUUUGUAUUGUCUGCAAAUGUUCAAAUCAAGGUUGAGUUUUAACUCAGCCUCCCACCCACUCACCUUCCUUCUAGAGCACCUCCUUUAUUUUGCCUCCUUGCCUCACUAUACCUGUGUAAUUUGGUAUGUGAUCCUCUUUACUUGAGCCAGAUAGAUUUAGAAAGGUUAGAAUACAUCAAUAAAAACAACCCUUGACCUCAUGGUUGAGAAACAGAAUCCCAGAUUUCCUGGAAGCUCCUGAGUAUGAUAUGUAAUACCAGACACACAGUUGACUGGUGUCUGUAGGAGAGAUGCAUGCCCUUGAUGGGAGUUGGACUAGAUCACCCUGACAUUCUAGUUCUAGUCUGCCAUUGAGUAACUGGGUGGUGCUGGGCAACCUUCUUAAUUUGGGGGUUUUUUUAUGAGUAAAAAGAGAAGGACAAGUCCAUCCCCAGUUGCCUUUCACCUCUAAUAAGUAAAUAAAGUUAUUUUGCAAAGCUAGAUAGAAAUGCUACAGGCUCGGCAGUGUCAUGGAAAACAAGGUGAGAUCUUUACUAAUAUCAGAAAGAAUCUACCCACAGUGUCGUGGUAGAGUUUAGGAAUAAGACAGAGGGCUUGUGAUCUCCCAUCAGCCCUCUCAUGCUUACCUGGACUUUUCUCAUAGGUCUCCUUCCUCCAUGUGGUUGAAGAAGGCUUCCAUUUUGUCAUAGAUUGUACCUAUGUAUGAAUGUUAUUGCUUUAAUCAAAUUGAUCUGUUUCCAGGGACAGACAGUAAGGGGCACAUGUUAAUUGUUUCAUAUCCCCACACUUAGUUCUCUGCUACGUUAUGUUACAUUCCUCUCUCUCACUAACUACCUUUCCUGGAAAGACACCUGCUUCUAACUGGGAACCCAGUAAAAACGUGUAGUAAGAGAGGUAGACCCACUUUAGGGCCCGCUAAAGGGUACAGAUGCUACAUGCGAGUUCAAGCCAAAUGCACUGAUGGCCACUGACUCCAAUAUAAUGCCAAGUCCUGGCAAAUCCCACAACAAUUAUGAUUCAGAAGACUUGGCUGAAUAUGAUAUUCUUAAGUACCCUUGAAGAGUCAACCCAACAUUUCUGGUUUCCAAUGUCCAGUUUUAGAAUAAAUGAUUUCUAGGAGUUCCCGUUGUGGCUCAGUGGUAACAAAUCUGGCUAGUAUCCAUGAGGAUAUGGGUUUGAUCCCUGGCCUCACUUAGUGGAUUAAGGAUCUGGUGUUGCUGUGAGCUGUGGUGUAGGUUGCAGACGCAGCUCAGUUCUGGUAUUGCUGUGAGCUGUGGUGUAGGCUAGCAGCUGCAGCUCUGAUUCAACCCCUAGUCUGGGAACUUCCAUAGGCCACGGGUAUGGACCUAAAAAGCAAAAACAAAGAAAAAAAAUUAUUUCCAAUUUAGCACUUCUUCUGGGGAUGGAAAAUGGUAGACAACUUUUUCAUUCAGUGUAAGCCCAGGGUUCUUGUAUGAACCACGGAGCAGGAGAUGGGUCGCCCAAGGGACGGGUAUAAGACAUCUGUGUGUGUGUGUGUGUGUGUGUGUGUGUGUGUGUGUGUGUGUGUGUGGUGUGAGAAAGAGAAAGAAAGAGACAGAGGGAGUUAGGAGUGGGCAGGGGAUGUCAGUUUGGUUUUCAUAUCAUUUUAUGAAAAUUAAGUAAAUGAGCUGUUCUUUUUUUUUUUUUUUUGCUUUUUAGGGCCACACUUGCAGCACCUGGAAGUUCCCAGGCUAGGGGUUGAAUCAGAGCUACAGCUGCCAGCCUACACUAUAACCACAGCAAUGUCAGAUCCGAGCCACACUUAAGCUUAAGAAAUGUUAUUUCUCCUGUUUUACAGAAGAGGAAACAGGCUCAGAGAGGUUACCUAAUUUGUCCAAGGUCACACAGCCAAUAGCCCUCAUCUGAGCCAAAUUUGCCUCAAGCAAGUCAUCCAACCUUUGUCUCUGGAUGAAGUUUUGCACUUUGAUCAUGGGUGAAUACAAAGUGUGGAGGGUCACUGUCCUCUCAGUCUAGGAAGCUGGUCCCUUCACAUUGGACAACUCCACUGCUCUUGCUGCAACUAAGUGGUCACUUGUGCCAUUUCAUGAGGGCUCAUGACACCCCCUCUUCUCAGAUUGUUGUUUCCAAAACGGCACUGUGUGUAGUGGUAAGAUGAUGAUAAUUAUAACUUGCUUCUCAGGGUCAUUUUGAGGAUUAAGAGAGAGAAUGCCAGCAAAGAGUUUUCUUCAGAGCAGGGCAUCAUGAUAAGCUUGGAAGAAAUGACAGUUUUAAACGCAGUCAGUUUUACUACUGAUUCCAUGUGUCCUCUGCUACUUAUAUAUCUCUCUCUAUCUUUCCUCUCAGCCAAUUCCCUAUCAAAGUUAUGAUCCUAUAAUUUUUAAAAAUUGGCAUCUGCAGCAGGCUUUUAAAAACCCAAGUAAUCUUAUCUUCAUAUGUAUGUGUUAUUACAUAUGCACAUUGUCUAACCACUGCACUCCUCUCAUUCCAGUUAAAUCAAAAUGGUUUGCAAAUCUGCAAACAUGAAAGGAUCUUCCUUGUCCCUGUAUUGUUCAUUUGUUUUAAGAAAGGUUGUAUCAACAACAAAAAACCAACCCAAUCAAAAAAUGGGCAGAAGACCUAAGUAGACAUUUCUCCAAAGAAGACAUACAGAUGGCCAGUAAACAGAUGAAAAGAUAUUCAACAUCACUAAUUAUUAGAUAAAUGCAAAUCAAAACUACAAUUAAGUACCACCUCACAUUGGACAGAAUGGCCAUCAUUAAAAAUCUGCAAAUAACAAAUGCUGGAGAAGGUAUGGAGAAAAGAGACCCCUCCUACACUGUUGGUGGGAAUGUAAAUUGAUGCAACCACUAUGGAAAAAGCAUGGAGGUUCUUCAGAAAACUAAAAAUAGAAUUAUCAUAUGAUUCAGCAAUCUCACUCCUAGGAAUAUAUCUGGACAAAACUGUAAUUCAAAAAUAUAGAUGCCCCUGUAUGUUCAUAGCAGCACUAAUCACAAUAGCCAAGACAUGGAAACAACCUAAAAGGCCAUCGACAGAUGAAUGGAUUAAGAAGAUGUGGUGCAACAGAAUACCACUCAGCCAUAAAAAGAAUAAGAUAGGAGUUCUCUGGUUAAGGAUCUGGCAUUGUCACUACUAUGGCUUGGUUUGCUGUUGUGGUGCAGUUUCGAUCCCUGGCCCUGGAACUUCCACAUGUUGCAGGUGCAGACAAAAAAAGAAAAAAAAAAAAAA
rnacentral:lncRNA from 9 species